AUACCUACCGGUCCGGUCUGGUAUGAACGGACAAGGCAGAAGCCAGAGAUCCGUCUGGUGAACAGUUAAGCUAGCGAAAAGCUCUGACGUGAUAUAAGUUCUCAGGUUACUGUGGUUAUUGGGGAGGUCCCUUCCUGGUGGAGAAAAGGUGUGGCUGAAGGCUAAGGAAGCUUAAAUGCUGGAACCAACCCAUUGGGCCAAACCAUGUGCUGCAAUGUCAAGGGGGUCCUCAUGGAUCAUGGCUACAGCGAGAUCAGGGAUCAUGGUUGUGCCUCCUGCUGUGGUCCUGCUCAAUGUCCACUGCCAGUACUAUUGAUAUUAUGAGUACAACCCCAAACCAAUGGACUGACAGAAUGCUCCAACCAUACUCUGAAGCGAUAACUGACUCCUGCUGGUGCUCAAGUGGACUGUGAACUUAGCCACAUCUCAGAAGACAAACAGCUUCAGAAUUCCUGAAUGCCUGCUGCCUGGCUAAAAAAAAGAGGUUGACCUGAUGCUGUCCCUGGGAAUCAUGGAGACUGAGGAGCAAGCGUUGUAACCCAGUGGUCCUGAAGAAGGAUGGCAUUAUACAGUUUGCAUAAACUUCAGGUACCUGUGUGUACUUUAAUUUAUUUAUUAUUAUUUAUUCUUGGUUUGACUGAAGAAUUGAUGACAUGCUUGUACAACUGGGAAUAGCCAAAGUCAUGGCCACAUGAAGCCCACCCCCCUCUGAUUGUUGUCCAGAGAGUCCUGUAUGGCCACAGCCACCGGGUAAUAUCACAGGUUAAUUACAUUUGCAUUUAAUUUAAUUUGCAGAGACCUCUCAAUAAUCACUUAUGGCUAAGCUAAGUGUGUGACAAUGUCUGCAGGAAGUC